rnacentral:rRNA from 1 species
UACGUAGGGUCCGAGCGUUGUCCGGAAUUAUUGGGCGUAAAGGGCUCGUAGGCGGUUUGUCGCGUCGGGAGUGAAAACUCAGGCUUAACCCUGAGACGCCACCCGAUACUGCUAUGACUUGAGUCCGGUAGGGGAGUGGGGAAUUCCUGGUGUAGCGGUGAAAUGCGCAGAUAUCAGGAGGAACACCAAUAGCGAAGGCAGCUCGCUGGGACGUUACUGACACUGAGGCGCGAAAGCGUGGGGAGCAAACAGG